UAAUUUCAAGCCAAGUGAAUUUCCUUCCCGGGAGCCUACGAACAAAACAAACCCUGAGGCUCCCUCCAAUGGGAUGAGCGCACCGCGCCAGGCUGUGCUGGGAUCUGAUUGGCUGAGGCCUGAGCGCAGGUGUGCGGGGAGCCGCCCCUGCUGCAGCUCUGGCUCCAGGUGCUCGCCUUCUGCAGCUGAAAGGAAGGCGCUGGACGAGGGUGCUGCCCUCCCAGGUAAACGGAACGUGUGUGUCCUAGAGGCUUCACACCUGAAUGUGCAUGUGUUUGAAAAUGGGGUGGACACUGAUGUGAAAUGUUACUUUAUCUGAAAAGGGGUUAGGUUUUGACUAAAUGCAUUUUAGUGUUCUUGUGUGCAUGUCCCGUGGAUAAACGCUGAGCUGAGGCAGAGUCUGGGGAGAAAACUGGUAUUUGUGUUGCCCCGGGGGCUGGGGGUAACAUCGCCGCAUGUUCCUUACUUUCCUGGCAAAACCUCCAAAGGCAUUGGCGAAUCGAUUGUUUCCCCUAAACUUCCCUUUCUCUGUGUGCUCCCCGCCAGGGCUCACGGCCACACGCAUGCAUGUCCGGGUCCUGUGUGGCGUCAGGGUUGGCACGGUGCAGUCUCACCUGGCCGGCCAGCAAGCAGGGCGAGCAGCCUGUGGUUUCUGUCAUUGUGGAAACGGGCCCAUGGCUGGACGGUCACAGACUCAUACACACGGACGCACCGCAGCACAGUGGGGGGAGCCCAGGCCGGGAGUCAGGAGAGGCACCUGGGUGCCAGGGCCGACUCUGCCGGUAACGGCAUGACCCCGGCAGGUCACUUACCUAGCCUGAAGCAAGGGAUCUUGCCCUUCCUACUCUAACCACUAUUCUCCCACAGCUGCCCGAAGACGUGUGUGGGUCUGAAGAGCAACCAUGAGGGGAAAUGAGCAGGAAGUAGGUGUAGAAUCUCACUCUCCUUAGGGUCCCAGCCCCCGAGCUACCUUAGAACGGGUCUCGGUGGGUCUGUGAGCGGCCACACCCCCGGGACCUGACCCAGCGGGGCUGAUGGGAUGCUCCUUAGCGAGAGCCAGGCCCCGGGAGGCGCAGAAACCAGACGUGUCUCCGUGGCACCGGCUCUGCCUGUGGGAGGUGUCGUUUUAGCUGUGCCCUGGCAGAUUGUGGCUUCGGAAGGGGAGUCACUUUGACCUAAUUAGAGGGGAAAUUGCAUGAGGGAUAGCUGGAAGGGGUGACUUUGAGCUUCUUGACAUCUCAACCAGUGAAGAGUGAGG